GACAGAGGAUGCAAGCGUUAUCCGGAAUGAUUGGGCGUAAAGCGUCCGCAGGUGGCUAUGUAAGUCUGCUGUUAAAGAGUGAGGCUCAACCUCAUAAAAGCAGUGGAAACUACAUGGCUAGAGUGCGUUCGGGGCAGAGGGAAUUCCUGGUGUAGCGGUGAAAUGCGUAGAUAUCAGGAAGAACACCGGUGGCGAAAGCGCUCUGCUAGGCCGCAACUGACACUGAGGGACGAAAGCUAGGGGAGCGAAUGGG
rnacentral:rRNA from 1 species